UACGGAGGAGGCAAGCGUUAUCAGGAAUUAUUGGGCGUAAAGCGUCCGUAGGAGGUUGACCAAGUCUGCUGUCAAAGGGUGGGGCUUAACCUCAUAAAGGCAGUGGAAACUGGUGAGCUAGAGUGCGGUCGGGGUAAGGGGAAUUCCCAGUGUAGCGGUGAAAUGCGUAGAGAUUGGGAAGAACAUCGGUGGCGAAAGCGCCUUGCUGGGCCUGCACUGACACUGAGGGACGAAAGCUAGGGGAGCGAAAGGG
rnacentral:rRNA from 1 species